UGGGGGAUAUUGCACAAUGGGCGAAAGCCUGAUGCAGCGACGCCGCGUGGGGGAUGAAGGCCUUCGGGUUGUAAACUUCUUUUGCUCUGAACAAGGCAUGCUAAUGGGUGUGUUGAGUGUAGGGGUUGAUUAGCGCCGGCUAACUACGUGCCAGCAGCCGCGGUAAUACGUAGGGCGCGAGCGUUGUCCGGAAUUAUUGGGCGUAAAGGGCUUGUAGGUGGCUGGUUGAGUCUGUCGUGAAAGCUCAUGGCUUAACUGUGGGUUUGCGGCGGGUAAGGGCUGGGUUGAGUGCAGUAGGGGAGGCUGGAAUUCCUGGUGUAGCGGUGGAAUGCGCAGAUAUCAGGAGGAAUACCGGUGGCGAAGGCGGGUCUCUGGGCUGUUACUGACACUGAGGAGCGAAAGCAUGGGGAGCGAACAGG
rnacentral:rRNA from 1 species